rnacentral:sRNA from 1 species
UUUUUCCACGCCGACACCGUGGGAACUGC